UACGUAGGGUGCAAGCGUUGUCCGGAAUUAUUGGGCGUAAAGAGCUCGUAGGCGGUUCGUCGCGUCGGCUGUGAAAACCUGAGGCUCAACCUCAGGCCUGCAGUCGAUACGGGCGGACUUGAGUACUGCAGGGGAGACUGGAAGUUCCUGGUGGUAGCGGUGAAAUGCGCAGGAGUAUCAGGAGGAACACCGGUGGCGAAGGCGGGUCACUGGGCGAGUGAACUGACGUGGAGGAGCGAAAGCGUGGGGAGCGAACAGG
rnacentral:rRNA from 1 species